AUUCCAGCUCCAAUAGCGUAUAUUAAAGUUGUUGUGGUUAAAAAGCUCGUAGUUGGAUCUCAACAGCCUUGAAGCGGUUAACUUUGUAGUUUUACUGCUUUAUAGGCUGUGCUUUUGCUGGAGGUUUAGGGGUGCUCUUGAUCGAGUGUCUCUGGAUGCCAGCAGGUUUACUUUGAAAAAAUUAGAGUGCUCAAAGCAGGCUAAAAUGCCUGAAUAUUCGUGCAUGGAAUAAUAGAAUAGGAUGUCGAUCCUAUUUUGUUGGUUUUCGGGACACGACAUAAUGAUAAAUAGGGACAGUCGGGGGCAUUUGUAUUCAAACGACAGAGGUGAAAUUCUUGGACCGUUUGAAGACAAACUACUGCGAAAGCAUUUGCCAAGAAUGUUUUCAUUA
rnacentral:rRNA from 1 species